AAGAUGGCAGCAUCUGCAUUUCAGGAUGCAGGAGGAAGGAAGGAUGAAGAAGAAGAAACAACACAUCCUGUAUUACGUCUUAAGGAGCUGGACUGCUCAUUUUUUUGAGGAACCCCUCUGAGAGAGGAACAGUUUGGGCCACUGGACUCCAGAGUAGGCUGCAGUGCAGGAUCUGUGGGCUUGGAUCCGUCCUCAAUUACAAGGAUGGCUAUUCUCUCUUCGGCGCCUACUGUGUACAGUAUAUGGAGAUGCUCCAACCUCAGCAUUUUGUUUAAUAAUGGGUCAUUGUUCAUCUGCCCUGGAGAUAAAGAACCUGGGACUCUGAGAAGUGAACCAUGUUGAUCAAGGUCACAAAGUCAGAAUGGAGCAGAUCCAGGAUUUGGACCCAGACCCCGCAAAAUUUCUCAUCUCUCUGUACAAGCUGCCUGUAUGAGGAUUGUCCCUCUGACUGGCUGAGACUAAGAAGUCAACUAAAAGAACAUUACACCCAAGUGUGGAGUUUUGGAACAUU